AUUGAACGCUGGCGGCAUGCCUUACACAUGCAAGUCGAACGGUAACAGGUUAAGCUGACGAGUGGCGAACGGGUGAGUAAUGCAUCGGAACGUGCCCAGUCGUGGGGGAUAACGCAGCGAAAGCUGUGCUAAUACCGCAUACGAUCUAUGGAUGAAAGCGGGGGACCGUAAGGCCUCGCGCGAUUGGAGCGGCCGAUGUCAGAUUAGCUAGUUGGUGGGGUAAAGGCCCACCAAGGCGACGAUCUGUAGCUGGUCUGAGAGGACGACCAGCCACACUGGAACUGAGACACGGUCCAGACUCCUACGGGAGGCAGCAGUGGGGAAUUUUCCGCAAUGGGCGAAAGCCUGACGGAGCAAUACCGCGUGAGGGAGAAUGCCUAUGGGUUGUAAACCUCUUUUUUCAGGGAUGAAUAAAUGACGUGUACCUGAAGAAUAAGCAUCGGCUAACUCCGUGCCAGCAGCCGCGGU
rnacentral:rRNA from 1 species